rnacentral:rRNA from 1 species
UACGUAGGGUGCAAGCGUUAAUCGGAAUUACUGGGCGUAAAGCGUGCGUAGGCGGUCGCGCAAGACAGGUGUGAAAUCCCAGGGCUUAACCUUGGAAUUGCACUUGUGACUGUGCGGCUGGAGUGCGGCAGAGGGGGAUGGAAUUCCGCGUGUAGCAGUGAAAUGCGUAGAUAUUGGGAAGAACACCGGUGGCGAAGGCGGCCAUCUGGACCGCAACUGACGCUGAGGCGCGAAAGCGUGGGGAGCAAACAGG